rnacentral:rRNA from 1 species
UACGAAGGGGGCUAGCGUUGCUCGGAAUUACUGGGCGUAAAGCGCACGUAGGCGGCUUUCUAAGUCGGGGGUGAAAUCCUGGAGCUCAACUCCAGAACUGCCUUCGAUACUGGAAAGCUCGAGUCCGGGAGAGGUGAGUGGAACUGCGAGUGUAGAGGUGAAACUCGUAGAUAUUCGCAAGAACACCAGUGGCGAAGGCGGCUCACUGGCCCGGUACUGACGCUGAGGUGCGAAAGCGUGGGGAGCAAACAGG